rnacentral:lncRNA from 1 species
GGGGCGAUAUUUUCAAUCUCCAAAAUUUUCACUCGCGCCCAUAUUUCAUCUCUUCCCUCUUCUGUCUUUUAUUUUCCAAAUCAAUUCUAAACUCAAAUCAGUAGUUUGCAGUUGCACAAAUCAUCAAUUUCCUCAACACUAUCAUUUUCCCUUUUGUUCGAAUCAUGAACUCGAAUCUGGUUGUACCCAAAAAACCCUAAAAUCAUGAAGAAAUUCAUUAAUCCUAAUCCCUAAUCGUUUUAUUUCGUCCUUGUUUCCGACCCUAAUCAUUCUUCUCUUUAUGGAUUGUUUCCAAUUCCGCUUGCUAGGUUCUCUUUCUACGCAUACUGGUACGUCUCAAAAGGUAUUGUUGAAUCUCAAAUCUUUAUAGUUUUGUUAUCAUGUAAACUCAAAUUUGGAGGUUUUGAUUUUCGUUAAUUUUUUAUUUGCUGAAAUUUGUUUUUCUGUGUUGUUUCAGGUUUUAUAAUCUUUUUUCCAUCAGAUUUAGAGGUUUGGAGUUUAUUUAGGUUUUCUCUUUCUGAGUUAUUUCAGAUUUGUUGGGUUUUUUUGCUAUAAGCUUCUUU